CGCGAAAGUGGAGCUAAUACCGGAUGUGGUACCUCGUCGCAUGGCGAGGCUAUUAAAGGUGGGGAUCCUUCGGGACCUGCUGCUUGGAGAGGAGCUCGCGUCCCAUCAGCUUGUUGGUAGGGUAACGGCCUACCAAGGCAUACGGGUAGCCGGCCUGAGAGGGUGACCGGCCACACUGGGACUGAGACACUGCCCAGACUCCUACGGGAGGCUGCAGUCGAGGAUCAUUCGCAAUGCGCGAAAGCGUGACGAUGCGACGCUGCGUGGAGGAUGACGGCCCUAGGGUUGUAAACUCCUGUCAUGAGGGAACAGCCGGCAAAGGGAUAAUACCCCUUCGCUCCGAUGGUACCUCAAGAGGAAGCCACGGCUAACUCUGUGCCAGCAGCCGCGGUAAUACAGAGGUGGCGAGCGUUGUUCGGAUUUACUGGGCGUAAAGGGUGCGUAGGUGGUUUCGUAUGUCGGAUGUGAAAGCCCGGGGCUCAACCCCGGAACUGCAUUCGAAACUGCGGGACUAGAGUACAGGAUGGGAGAGCGGAAUUCUUGGUGUAGCGGUGAAAUGCGUUGAGAUCAAGAAGAACACCGGCGGCGAAGGCGGCUCUCUGGAAUGUUACUGACACUCAUGCACGAAAGCUGGGGCUACCAAACAGGAUUAGAUACCCUGGUAGUCCCAGCUGUAAACUGUGUGCACUUGGUGU
rnacentral:rRNA from 1 species